UGGGAUUAUAUACCCCACUAUGCGCAGCCAAGGACGCAGGCAACCGACUACAACUAAAUGUCCCCCAGGGUACAAGCAUCAGCUUAAAACCCAAAAGACCUGACGGUGUCCAAGCCCCCCAAGAGGAGCCUGUUUCAG
rnacentral:rRNA from 1 species